UACGUAGGGUGCGAGCGUUGCCCGGAUUUAUUGGGCGUAAAGGGCGCGUAGGCGGCCACGCACGUCCGUUGUGAAAUCGCCCGGCUCAACUGGGCGGGGUCGGCGGAUACGGCGUGGCUGGAGCAAGCCAGGGGGCCAUGGAAUUCCCGGUGUAGUGGUGGAAUGCGUAGAUAUCGGGAGGAACACCAGUGGCGAAGGCGGUUGCCUGGAGCUUUGCUGACGCUGAGGCGCGAAAGCGUGGGGAGCGAGCCGG
rnacentral:rRNA from 1 species